rnacentral:rRNA from 1 species
GAGUUUGAUCCUGGCUCAGGACGAACGCUGGCGGCGCGCCUAACACAUGCAAGUCGAACGAGCGAGAGAGAGCUUGCUUUCUCGAGCGAGUGGCGAACGGGUGAGUAACGCGUGAGGAACCUGCCUCAAAGAGGGGGACAACAGUUGGAAACGACUGCUAAUACCGCAUAAGCCCACAGCUCGGCAUCGAGCAGAGGGAAAAGGAGCAAUCCGCUUUGAGAUGGCCUCGCGUCCGAUUAGCUAGUUGGUGAGGUAAUGGCCCACCAAGGCGACGAUCGGUAGCCGGACUGAGAGGUUGAACGGCCACAUUGGGACUGAGACACGGCCCAGACUCCUACGGGAGGCAGCAGUGGGGAAUAUUGCACAAUGGGGGAAACCCUGAUGCAGCGACGCCGCGUGGAGGAAGAAGGUCUUCGGAUUGUAAACUCCUGUUGUUGAGGAAGAUAAUGACGGUACUCAACAAGGAAGUGACGGCUAACUACGUGCCAGCAGCCGCGGUAAAACGUAGGUCACAAGCGUUGUCCGGAAUUACUGGGUGUAAAGGGAGCGCACGCGGGAAGACAAGUUGGAAGUGAAAUCUAUGGGCUCAACCCAUAAACUGCUUUCAAACUGUUUUUCUUGAGUAGUGCAGAGGUAGGCGGAAUUCCCGGUGUAGCGGUGGAAUGCGUAGAUAUCGGGAGGAACACCAGUGGCGAAGGCGGCCUACUGGGCACCAACUGACGCUGAGGCUCGGAAGUGUGGGUAGCANACAGGAUUAGAUACCCUGGUAGUCCACACCGUAAACGAUGAUUACUAGGUGUUGGAGGAUUGACCCCUUCAGUGCCGCAGUUAACACAAUAAGUAAUCCACCUGGGGAGUACGACCGCAAGGUUGAAACUCAAAGGAAUUGACGGGGGCCCGCACAAGCAGUGGAGUAUGUGGUUUAAUUCGACGCAACGCGAAGAACCUUACCAAGUCUUGACAUCCCUUGACGAACAUAGAAAUAUGUUUUCUCUUCGGAGCAAGGAGACAGGUGGUGCAUGGUUGUCGUCAGCUCGUGUCGUGAGAUGUUGGGUUAAGUCCCGCAACGAGCGCAACCCUUACUGUCAGUUACUACGCAAGAGGACUCUGGCAGGACUGCCGUUGACAAAACGGAGGAAGGUGGGGAUGACGUCAAAUCAUCAUGCCCUUUAUGACUUGGGCUACACACGUACUACAAUGGCGUUAAACAAAGAGAAGCAAGACCGCGAGGUGGAGCAAAACUCAGAAACAACGUCCCAGUUCGGACUGCAGGCUGCAACUCGCCUGCACGAAGUCGGAAUUGCUAGUAAUCGUGGAUCAGCAUGCCACGGUGAAUACGUUCCCGGGCCUUGUACACACCGCCCGUC